rnacentral:rRNA from 1 species
GACCGUCGUGAGACAGGUUGGUUACUAUCUAAUCCAUGUGUUAGUGGUCUGAGGGGAAGGUGGCUCCAGUACGAGAGGAACGAGUUGUCGGUGCCUCUGGUUUACCAGUUGUCUGAUAAGGCAUUGCUGGGCAGCUACGCACUGGACGAUAAAGGCUGAAAGCAUCUAAGCCUGAGGUGUCCCCUGAAAAUAGAUUGCUUAGGACGCGAGUAGAAGACUCGUUUGAUGGGGUAGGGAUGUGAGCUUCGAGGUUUUUUUCCGAGUUGUUUAGUCCGCUGCUUCCAAUUGUUCGCUUGCUUUAUUUU